rnacentral:rRNA from 1 species
CCUACGGGAGGCAGCAGUGGGGAAUAUUGGGCAAUGGGCGCAAGCCUGACCCAGCAACGCCGCGUGAAGGAAGAAGGCUUUCGGGUUGUAAACUUCUUUUCUCAGGGACGAAGAAAGUGACGGUACCUGAGGAUUAAGCCACGGCUAACUACGUGCCAGCAGCCGCGGUAAUACGUAGGUGGCAAGCGUUAUCCGGAUUUAUUGGGUGUAAAGGGCGUGUAGGCGGGAGCGCAAGUCAGAUGUGAAAACUCAGGGCUCAACCCUGAGCCUGCAUUUGAAACUGUGUUUCUUGAGUACUGGAGAGGGAAUCGGAAUUCCGGGUGUAGCGGUGAAAUGCGUAGAUAUACGGAGGAACACCAGUGGCGAAGGCGGAUUACUGGACAGUAACUGACGCUGAGGCGCGAAAGCGUGGGGAGCAAACAGGAUUAGAUACCCCAGUAGUC